UUUCCGUAGGUGAACCUGCGGAAGGAUCAUUAAUAAUUUUUUUAGGUUGAAAUACGAAACUAAAAUAUAAUAAUCCUACCCUUUGUGAAUUUGUUGUUUGAAAUAAUUUUUAAAAAAUUAUUUAUAGUUUUGUCUAUCCUGAGUUGUAAGAGAAGUAAAAUUCUUUGAAAGCUUAGGAAUAGGCAUAUCUAUAAAUAAUGAUUUUAAAGACCUUUUUUUAAAUUAAACUUUUUUAUUCAUUUGUCUAAAUUUAUUUUUGAUAAUUUAAAAACAACUUUUGACAAUGGAUCUCUUGGUUCUCGCAACGAUGAAGAACGCAGCAAAAUGCGAUAAGUAAUGUGAAUGCAGAAUACGUGAAUCACCAAAUCUUCAACGCAUAUUGCACUUUUUUUAGUUUACUAAAAAAGUAUGUCUGUUUGAGUAUCAGUAAAAUAUUCUCAUAAAAAUUUAUUUUUUAUGGUUUUGAGUGUUUACAACGAUACAAGUGUUUCACUUUAAAUUGACUUUAAAUUGCCUAUUAAUUUAGUCAAUUUUAAAAUUGCAUAAAAUUUCCGUAAAAAGGAAUAACUACAACUUUAAAUUAACUGAUAUUAAAAGGCCUUGAUAAAAGGAAUUUAAUUAAAUAACUUGAUCUCAAUCAGAUAAGAGUACGCUGAACUUAAGCAUAUCAAUAAGCGGAGGAAAAGAAACUAACAAGGAUUCCCUAGUAACGGCGAGUGAAGCGGGAAGAGCUCAAAUUUGAAAUCUUCAAGGUUGACCUUGACGAAUUGUAGUUUAAAGAAGUGUUUUCGUUAGAGGAGUGGUAAAAGUUCUUUGGAAUAGACAUCAUAGAGGGUGAGAAUCCCGUAUUUGACCAUUCUUCUAGCUUGUGAUACACUUUCAAAAGAGUCGGAUUGUUUGGAAUGCAGUCCAAAAUGGGUAAUUCAUCUAAAGCUAAAUAUGCGAGAGACAUAGCAACAAUACCGUGAGGGAAAGAUGAAAAGAACUUUGAAAAGAGAGUUAAACAGUACGUGAAAUUGUCAAAAGGGAAGCGUUACACCAGUGUUGUUUUUCCGAAAAUCAAUUAAAAUGAUUCAUGCCAAGCUGUAUUGACCUUAUCAGCUUCAAUUUGGUUUGUUCUAUUUUGAUCACUUUUCGGUUAACAAGUCAACAUCAAUUUCCUUUCUUAAAAGGCAGAAGGAAGGUGGCUUCAAUUUCGGUUGAAUGUUUAUAGCCUUUUGUCUCUGCAGUCGGGAGAUUGAGGUCUGCAGCGUAAUCCUUCGGGUUAGAUACAUUCGUGCUAAGUUAUAGCCUUUUAUAGACAACUGUUGACUAUGAUCGUCUUGUAAUUUACUCCGAGUGCUAUUUACCUACGCUUAGAUGUU
rnacentral:misc_RNA from 1 species